rnacentral:rRNA from 1 species
AUACGGAGGAUCCGAGCGUUAUCCGGAUUUAUUGGGUUUAAAGGGUGCGCAGGCGGCCAUUUAAGUCAGCGGUUAAAUUGUGGGGCUCAACCCCAUUCUGCCGUUGAUACUGGGUGGCUUGAUUGCGGUCGAGGUUGGCGGAAUUCGUUGUGUAGCGGUGAAAUGCAUAGAUAUGACGAAGAACACCGAUUGCGUAGGCAGCUGACCAGACCGCAAAUGACGCUCAUGCACGAAAGUGCGGGGAUCGAACAGGAUUAGAUACCCUGGUAGUCCGCACAGUAAACGAUGAAUACUUGUUUUCGGCGAUAUAAUGUCGGAGGCAAAGCGAAAGCGAUAAGUAUUCCAUCUGGGGAGUACGCCGGCAACGGUGAAACUCAAAUGAAUUGACGGGG